rnacentral:rRNA from 1 species
CUACGGGGUGCUCCAGUGAGGAAUAUUGCACAAUGGGGGAACCCUGAUGCAGCAACGCCGCGUGGAGGAUGACGCAUUUCGGUGUGUAAACUCCUUUUAUAUGUCAAGAAAAUGACGGUAGCAUAUGAAUAAGCACCGGCUAACUCCGUGCCAGCAGCCGCGGUAAUACGGAGGGUGCAAGCGUUACUCGGAAUCACUGGGCGUAAAGAACGCGUAGGCGGGUUGGAAAGUCAGGUGUGAAAUCCUACAGCUUAACUGUAGAACUGCACUUGAAACUUCUAAUCUAGAGUAUGGGAGGGGGAGAUGGAAUUAGUGGUGUAGGGGUAAAAUCCGUAGAUAUCACUAGGAAUACCUAAAGCGAAGGCGAUCUCCUGGAACAUUACUGACGCUAAGGCGUGAAAGCGUGGGGAGCAAACAGGAUUAGAUACCCCCGUAGUC